UGGAGGUCUUCCUGAUCAUGCAGCUGAUCAUCUGCAUCCUCUUUGUGAUGGAUGAGUGGAGGAAGGAUGCAUGGGUUCCGCUCCCAUGGCCAUUGGCUUCGGUCACCGUGGCAAACCCCAUGAUGAUGUUCCACAAUGGAGCUGAAAUCAACCCUGACCGAUCCUUUACCCCUGCUCUGUUCCAAGAUGAAUUUCAUGAACAGCUAGAUGCACUGGGUGGAUCCCAUGAUCUGUGGCGCUAUGGGCACCGUCAUGUACGACUUCAUGCUCUUCCCUGCAUGUGCGGCCUGGCCGUGAGGGUAGCCCCUUUUAAAGGCAGCCGGCCUCUGGAGCAGGACCCUUGUGGGGAGCUCAAGACCCAGGCCCUAUACUGUAAGGCUGCCACCAAGCCAGGAGAAGUAGGGGCCUUAUUAUAGUAGCCCCCUGCAUCCAACAACCCAGGUCUUCUCCUCCCAGCAAUCCAGCUCUCCUCCCAGCAAUCCAGCUCUCCUCCUCACCAAAGCAAAGUCUAGUUCUAGCUGUGACGUCACCCUCACAGGCACCGAUUGGUCAGAGGGAGGAGUCGUGUGUGGGAGUUGUGUAUCACAAGAUUUAAAUCCCUGUACAGUAGUGCGGACAUCACAUUUCUAUACAGAAGAAGACCUGCACGGGACAAGAUCAACAACGACACGAGAAAAUGGAAGUGAGAAGAAAUCCAGUUGCCCCAUGGACCGAUGCUGAGGUGUAUGUAUUCCUGAGCUUCUUAAAAGAAGAAAGGGUUCAGAAAGCUUUGGACAGAGCUGUUAGGAAUGGAAAGGUGUUUGCGGAGCCAGUCCAGCACCUAGCAACACACGGCUCCACCAGAACAGUACACCAGGUCAGAGAGAAGUUGAAGAAGCUGAAAUUCGACUAUCGCGGGACAAAGGACCACAACAACUCCAGUGGCUCCGACAGACGGCAGUGGAGGUGGUACGAGGAGAUGGACGCCAGAGGCUAUACGGGAGCCGGCCACUGAGCCAGAGGCCGGAUGAGAACAUGGACCCGAGCUUGUCAUUGCUUAGGACAAAUAACGAUUCCGAAGAUGUACUUGCCUCGUCUGCGACUGGCAACAUACUAGAGGAGUCUGUCUUGGCUCCAGCUCAGACAUCUUCAGCUCGGUCAUCCACACAAAUCCUUGUCAUCCACGCCGUCUGGAUCUUCUGGAGCUGCGCAAAAUGGGAGAGGAAAACGGAGGAGGUUGGAAGCAACAUUAUGGCUGAGUACAACGAGUAGCACAGGCACUUCAUGCUGCAAAGCCUGGAGGAAGCAGAGCGUGACAGACAGGCGGAGAAGAGACACCAUACGCAGAUGUUGGCACACAAGAAAAAGCUGCACGAUGACAAGACGUAAUUCAAGCUCGCAACAGUGGUCAACGAGACCGUUCCAAAGGCAUUGUCUGGGAUGUCCAUAUAAGAUGUGGAUGUGCUCAUGUGAAGAUUCCAAAGCAAACCAAAAGUCCUGGCGACCCACAAGGUACCAAACUGUAUCGAUAUGUACGACAGCUCAACAUCCUCCUCCCAGUAGAGGAACAAGUUAUCAGAAACCAGCUCUCCUGAUGGAUGCGAUCUUCCCAUGUCGCGCCAUGCCAAGAUCGAGUGGGAGGUGUUGCAGUGAUCCAUGCCUGGGCACGGGCUUGCUUUGAUUGACAGCCUCCAUCGUUUCUGGCUGUGCUGGGCAUAGUCACCGCGGCGGAGGUCUCCCUGACCAUGCGGUUGGUCAUCUGCAUCUGAGGGGAGGAGGAACGGAUGCAUGGGUUCCGCUCCCAUGGCCAUUGGCUUCUGUCACCAUGGCACAAUUCAUGAGUUUGUGAUAUGAGAAUGUUCUACACUGGAGCUGAAAUGAACCCUUCCAGAUCCUUCACCCUGCUAUGUUCAAGAGGAACUUCAUGAAUCACUGGAUGUUCUUGGCAGGUCCCAUAAUCUGUGGUGCUCUGGGCGUCGUCAUGUACAACUUCAAGCUCUUCCCCAGCAUUUGUAGCCUGGCCGAGAGGGUAGCCACCCUGAAAGGCAGCCGACCUCUGGAGCAGGACAUCUGCGGGGACCCCAUCAAGCUCAAGACCGAGGCCCUAUACCGUAAGCCUGCCACCAAGCCAGGGGACGCAGGGGCCAGCCAGAAUUGUUAUGGUAGCCCCCUACCAGCCACCCAGCUCUCCUCCUCCCAGCAACUCAGCCCUCCUACGACCUACGAACAAACCGACUAACACAAUCAAGACAGCCCUUGCACAUCAGUGCUACGGGGGUCACAGAGCCACUAACAUUCAGACUAACAGCACUGACAUAGACAAGGGCAUAAAUACACACAGUGUCACAAUCUACACUCAUUACAGGGCUGACCUAGAACAGUCAACUUGGACAUACAUGUUUUUUCAUUACAUUUGAUUACCGGUCUGAUCUCAAAAGUUUUGUUUUUUAUUUCAUUUCUUCUGUUUUCUACAAUACAAGGUGUGUGUGUGUCUGUCUGUCUGUGUGUCUGUCUGUGUGUCUGAAUGUUCACUGCAGCUUUUUAUUUUGGGUUUAUAUCAUUGCAAAGCGUGUUUGUGUUAAAGAGAGUGUGUGGGCCAGUGCAAAUUGUUUGUGUGUGUUUGUGUGUGUCUGUGUGUGUGUCUGUGUGUGUGUCUGAAUGUUCACUGCAGCUUUUUAUUUUGGGUUUAUAUCAUUGCAAAACGUGUUUGUGUUAAAGAGAGUGUGUGGGCCAGUGCAAAUGGUUUGUGUGUGUUUGUGUAUAGAAUGUGUGUGGUCCAUGUGUGUACUGCUGGUGGUGGAGUUCUAGACUUGGACUGAGCAUUGUUCUGUACUGCAAUUGGGUGUUGUGCCUUCUGCUGACUUCGGGUGAGUACUGCAUUGAGUGUUUUCUUCUGCAUUUCAGUGACGGUCUCUUGCUUGUUUAGCAACGUCUUUUAUUGACUUCCUUGGCCACUGAAGGAACUGUGCACCGCUCUGCCACUUGGAGCUUUCAGUUAGGUCUUCAGGACUGGCCUAAUGUUGUCUUCCAUAUUCACUGCACCUGGAAUUCCAUCCAUCACCAAUCUCAGUCAGUGCUGCUCCGGAUCCUUAACUUUCACGCUUUAUUGCACCUGACAUGUUCUGGCUGUCUACAAGGAGGUGAUGCCACUUCUUGAUCUUUAUUCUGCAUUGCUUGUGGAAGUAGUUCUUCAUCCGUGCUGCAAGCAGUGCUAUGCACAUCUUCGCCCUUGACACGUUCACCGUUGUGGUCAAGAGUGUUCAGCUUGGCCUUGGCCUCAACCAUUCUCACAACGACACCAUGGCUGCAGCUCCACAGCAGGUAGAGUAGAGUAGGGUAGAGUAGAGUAGAGUAGAAGCUUGGCUUACACCUCUCUUCUGGUGUUUGUUCUUUCACUCGGUCUCCCAGCGAGUUCUGGCCGAGGCAUAUUUCCUCCUUCUUGGAGAAAUAGAUCUCCGCUGAUGUCUGAGAUUGGUGGUGAACUCUGGGUAUUGUGGACAUGGCGGACGUAGUCACCCGGGGGGCUGGUCCUGAUGUCCUGGCUGGGCGUUUUGAGUGGCGGUUGGGUCCACGGUUCCUUCUGCUUCCUUGGGGUGGGUGGCCAACAGGGUCAGUGGAAUGCCUUACUGUGCAGGCGUGAGGCAGUCUCGCUGGAGUGCAGAGGAAGGCGUUCAGUGCAGUGCUCACCCAUGAUCAGCUGGGGGCACUGCACCCGGUUGUGGUCUGGGACGGUACAUGGUCUGGAUCAUGGGCUCCACCGCCAGCAGUAGCAGUGGUGUGUUUGAGAGAGUGUGUGGGUUUGUGUGUGUGUGUGUGUGUAUAGCACAGGUGUGUUUGUCUGUGCGUGUGUGUGACACUUUUUUUUUUUUUUACUGCAGCUAAAGCUUAAUGCAUGUGUUGUCAUGCAGAUGAUAAUUUUUCUGAUUUGCAUUACAUUUGUCCCCCCCCAGCUGUAUUUGCUAUGAUAUGAAAUUGACUGACUGUGUGGGUUGUGUUUUUUCUUUUUUUGUGGUACAGAAGACUGAAAAUUUUUCAGAGGCGUAUGGGCUUAAGUCUGAAUCUCUCAGCUAGUCCAUACACCACAGACUGGCAUACCCUAUUUAUUUAAAAAUGUAAAAUGAUGAAAAUUUUAAAAUUGCAUACAUUUGAAGGGAAAAGAAAAAGCACAAUUUCUGGACACAGAAGACUUAAACUUGUUUUUUUCUUUUUUGCCUGAAAUAGUUGAACCAUAUCAGCAAAUGUAAGCGUUCUAGCAAUCAAAACUUGGCAUAGCAGAACACACGCGCACGGGCUUAGUAGGUCAAUAUUUGUGUAAUUAAAAAGAUCCAAUAACUGCAUAUUCUAUGGUCUGACUGCACUACCUGGAGGUUAAAAAUGUAGUGACGCUCAGUGGCCAAUUGUAUACACUGCAUAUUAGAUCACAUAAAGUGUCAAAUCUCUUUCAGUACAUCUCUUCCCUGGUUUAAUUGGCACGUCCCACUCCAGUCAUUUAUGUAAUGCAUGGCAACGGGUAAAAUGCAUUUGCUAAAUCUAGUGAUUGUUUUGUUAGAAACAGGCCAAGGCGUUUUGCCCCACUACACUGGU